rnacentral:tRNA from 1 species
GGGCGGUUAGCUCAGCUGGCUAGAGCGCUUGCCUUACAAGCAAGAGGUCGCAGGUUCGAGUCCUGCACCGCCCA